ensembl:snoRNA SNORD31 Small nucleolar RNA SNORD31
AGUAGAAGUGAUGACUUCUUAUUACCGCCCCAGUCUGAUGUUACGCUGACUGAUUGGUUACUGAACUGAU